rnacentral:rRNA from 1 species
CAGCCGCCGCGGUAAUACGGAGGGAGUUAGCGUUGUUCGGAAUUACUGGGCGUAAAGCGCACGUAGGCGGCUUUGUAAGUCAGAGGUGAAAGCCUGGAGCUCAACUCCAGAACUGCCUUUGAGACUGCAUCGCUUGAAUCCAGGAGAGGUGAGUGGAAUUCCGAGUGUAGAGGUGAAAUUCGUAGGUAUUCGGAAGAACACCAGUGGCGAAGGCGGCUCACUGGACUGGUAUUGACGCUGAGGUGCGAAAGCGUGGGGAGCAAACAGGAUUAGAGACCCCAGUAGUCCCUGUCUCUUAUAC